AAGACCUUGCACUUUUGGAGCGGCCGAUGUCUGAUUAGCUAGUUGGUGGGGUAAUGGCCUACCAAAGCUUCGAUCAGUAGCUGGUCUGAGAGGACGGCCAGCCACACUGGGACUGAGACACGGCCCAGACUCCUACGGGAGGCAGCAGUGGGGAAUUUUGGACAAUGGGCGCAAGCCUGAUCCAGCCAUGCCGCGUGAGUGAAGAAGGCCUUCGGGUUGUAAAGCUCUUUCAGCCGGGAAGAAAAGGUUGCGACUAAUAAUCGCAAUCCAUGACGGUACCGAAAGAAGAAGCACCGGCUAACUACGUGCCAGCAGCCGCGGUAAUACGUAGGGUGCGAGCGUUAAUCGGAAUUACUGGGCGUAAAGGGUGCGCAGGCGGUCUUGUAAGUCAGAUGUGAAAUCCCCGGGCUUAACCUGGGAACU
rnacentral:rRNA from 1 species